rnacentral:misc_RNA from 1 species
CGAUUAUGCGUAUCAUAACGGGUCGUAAACUUAAAGUGAUUUGUGUACCGUAGUGAGUGGCGGAUACGGUGGUGGAACAAUAACAGGUUGUUUGUCGUUUAUAAUUAAUUGCCUGUUGAGCUCAGUAACUCGGUAAUCUCUUGCUGGUUUCCCUUGAAUGUGAAGCGUAGAUCUUGCCACUCUCCCGAAGUUAUCACAGAUAUUUUGAGCUAGAAUUCGCCUGCUGUAAACAUGUCAAAGCGUCCGUUGCCGUGGGAGUGGGUGGUCGUCACCUUCGCCGUGCUGGUUAGCGGGCUAGUGGCGCUCGUGUUAGCCGGGGGAGGAAUGAAGUUCGAGCCCGACCCAGAUGCCGAGGUGUAUGAUUCUGGUUUUGCCUCGUCUGGUAAGAUGUCCUUCACUACCCCUGAUCUCGAUGACGAAGAUCACCACUCACUACACAUGCCAGACCAACUGCUUUGUGAUGCUUGCCAAAUAGUAGCACACAUGCUUGAGACAAAGUUUGACAAGAUGAACGAGAAGAGGCCCUCCUUGAAGAAGAACUUAUAUGAAUCGGACAUCCUGGAUGCUGUUGACGAGGUCUGCAGUGACGAGUUCAGCUCAGUUGGAAUCAAAGAAAUCAAGGGAGUGAAGCGGUUAGCGGGACCAGGCCUGAGCACCAAAGACGUUCCUGGCAUCAUGCAAGGAGGUGGCAAAUGGCCCGGCAGAAUGAGGGAAGUGUGCACCCAGUACGCUGGAGACUUGGAGGAGGAAAACAUUUACAAUGCCUACAAGGAAAAGGAGCUGCAGAAAUUCUUGUGUUAUGAUGAAGGACGCCAUUGUGCGAAGGUUGCCAAAAACAAAGAUGGCAAGAAGACCAAGAAAGAAAGAAAAGUGGAAUUAUAAUUAAAAGAAAAAGGUGUUAAUAUUUUGUUGAGGGGAUUCCCUUUCUACAUGUACCAUCAUUCAUUGCUUAAUACUAAGGUAAAGAGUUUAGUUAUCUCGUUGGGUAACGAGCCUGCAGUGAAGGCCAUGAGUUUACAAUGAAGGCCUUUCCACACGAGAACAUCAAAUCCUAAUGCAAAUUCACCCUAGGUUAGCCUGGGAUAGCCCCCUUGACCAAUGUCUCUCAGUUGUUCAGCUUUUCAUUGUUCUGCACUUUUUCACACAAAAGCUACGUUAAUCUUGCCAAGGGGGUGAAUAUGUACUGGCACUCAGUGCAAAUACAUGUAUAUUGCGCUCACAGCUUUUAGCCCAGAGUGAAAGUCGACACGUGUCACUGCAAUGGAACCUGUGCUGCCAACUUCCGUUAAAUGUUUAAAACUUUUGUGACUAUUGAGGGUUAAGAACGAAAACUUGCUUUCUCAAAAUUUCAGAUUUCCAUUGUGACAUGCACUGAUUUCAAACACAAAAAACUAACACGUAUUCCUUCUUCUUGCGCACUUUGUUCUGUUGGAAACAUGUCUCAUAUCACACAACUUACUGUUUUCCUUUACAAGCUUAAGACCGUUCCAACAAGCUCCAAUUUUGGUGUAAUUUUUUUGUCGCUGCAACAUGUCAUUAACAGUUCUAUUUUUACUUUGUUUACAUUUUAAAAUUUGCUUCUCUUCGACCUGAACAUUUUUAGAGGAUAAUGUUUAAAUCAUUUUUGAGAGCAGAUUUCUCAGGCAUCCGACGAUUUUAACUCGUCAGCUGUAUGUGUACAGGGAAUGAUUAGUGCUAGUUUACCGUAUUGAGAACUUAGUGCCUAGAAAUUUUCAAUUUUGCAACGUAAAGGAAUGUGUAAGGCUCUCUCCAAAGAAUGUUGUCAUCUUGUUGCCUCACUGAAUAAUAUUUGGAGGUUUCAUACUGUGAAUUAAUUUCAUGGUUGUAGCUUGACAAAAACAACUUGCAAUUGAAAUCUACCUGAAUACCUUCUUUCAUUAGCACUGUAUAAUAUACCCUAUCAGUAAAUUUCAACUGUGCCAAGUGUUAGUGAUAGCAUAUCUCCAAGAGAUUCCUUUUGUAUUUACCAAGUCCAUCACUAUAAAUAGAAUUGUUUGGCAGUGCCUUGAUAGAGAUUUGUGAUUUUUCCUCGUAGUUACUGUUCAAUCUGACUAAAAGUAGAGUACUCAGAAAUAUGUUACAGCUUGUAAAUUUUUCACUUGAUUUUUCUAAGUAUGAGUCUGUGGAAACCAUCAAUAACAAAAGAUAAAGGAUGACAUUAUUUGCACAGAUUUAGAAAUUACCUUUGUAAGGAGACACUGUGUGAGACGUGGUUGUGAUCAAGUACUGUAUAUGUGGUGUUUUUCUUAUUUAUUAAUUAAAAAGAGAUACUUAUAUUGCAAAAGAAAUCUC